UUGUUUUUGGUGUAUAUAUAUAUUCCCUUAUCCCUUCAUCUUCCAUCUAUCCUUCUUCAUCAACAAAAAAAGCUGCAAACUUUGGCUCUCUUUUCUCUCUUUUUGCCCUAAUUUUUGUUUGGUUCACCGUUGUCGUGCGCUUAUAUCAGUUCAAGCUGCCAGCAUGAUCUAACCUUAAUCUCUGCUAAUUAUGUUCGAGAUUCAAGAUCAGAUCAUAUGGCAGCUUCACCUGUUCUUGGCUGCACGAAGAACUUAGCCCUAAAUACAAAACCCUAAUCACCUUCUUUUUUCCUUAACAAUUUCUUCAUUCUCACCCAUUUUCCAUGCAUAAUUCCUAAAAAAGGCAUUUCUUGGGGUCAAUUGCGAGCUUGAUCUUUGGUAUGUGUGUCCAGUGGCCGAGUAGCGAAGUUAAAAGAUAAGGCAAUUGUCUUUUUGUUCCUCUUAAAUCUUAAAAGUUCUUCACUCUUUGCUCUUCUUUGUGUUUCUAUUUUUUAGAUUAUGAUACACGAAACUCGUGUUGUGUGGUUUAACGUCGUGAUAUUAUAAUCUCGAUUAAGCGGUUGGUUUGAAUCUUUGCUCUUUGUAUCGUUAGUAUAUGUGAGCGAUGGAAGAUUUCUAAUUUUUUUUGUGCGUUUGUGUUUUAUAGAUUUAGGAAACCCCGUUCAUCUCAAAGUGAUUGUUUAAGGCUAAGAUGUUAUAAAAUUUCAAUCAAGAGAUUCAAGUUUCUGUUGAUGUUUGGUACGUGUUUGACUUAAUUAUAUAAAGUUACAAAAUUUUAUUU